ACACACACACACAAUUAAUUUCCAUAUCUAUUUUAUUUCUUCUCUUUUAUUUUUUUAAAUUCUAUUUCAAAUACUAUUACAAACAAUAAUCUAUCGUUACAAAAUUUAUUAUAACAGAAAAAAAAAGGAGAAAUUACAAAGCAAUCAAUGUAAACAUUGACCACAUUGAUAGGUCUCUUUCUCUCUCUCUCUCUCUUUCAUUAUUCCUCCAACAAAGUAUCCCUCGGUAUUCCACUAAUAGAGUCAUCAACUUCCGUGUUACUAUCCACUUCCGUUCAUUAGGGAACUUUUUCCGGUCAAACAACGUCGUUGAAGCCGAGCAUCUCGAUUCUUUCGAUCCUCUUCCACGUUUAUGUUUCCUUUCUGCCGAUUCAAUCCGGGGAACGAUUCCUCCCUUACAUUCAAUUGCUAAUGAGGCCGGGAUAGGAGGGGGAAAAAAGAAGAAACGCGACCAUAACGAGCAAUAAGCCGAGAUAAUGGCUUCUCCGAAAUAUCCAGCUGGUGCAACGCGCGCAACUGAAUGCAAUGAUUUUGUCGAUAAUUUGCGAGAGCUGGUCGUGGUCAAGCUAUCAGCCACGCCCAUUUAUUAUACCGGUCAAACAAAUGAAGAACUGUUUUCGAUUUGAUCGAAUAGAAAUUCACGACAAAUUUGCGUACGUAAUUUUGAUAACGAAUUUCUGAUAUCCACUUUAUAGAUACAAACGAAAAUUUUAUUCUAUCCAUGGGAUGAACUUUCAACAAAUCUUCAUUAUUGAAUUAUAAUCCAGUUCAAUCAUUGAUUCAGAAAAAAUGAAAUCACGAAGAUAUUAAAAAGAUAAAUUUUUGAGAUAAGAAGCUUAAAGGAUUGAAAAAUGGGAGGGGAUCAUAGGAAAUAUUUCUUCUCAAAAACAAUUUAAAAAUAAAUGAAAAAGAUUUCCAUAAAUAAACAUGAAAUUAUUUCUUCGUUAAAAUUAUACAUCGCAUAUGCAGAAUAACGAAAGCGACGAGUUCGAGAGUAAAUCUUCAUCCCCUUAUGCGGAUACCCGUCAAGUGUAACAUAUUCUGUCAAGUAUCGACGAUUCUACGUUGAAGUCAAGAAGUUUCAAGGUCGCUUUGAUUUAAUACUCUUUAAAAUUAUAUUCAGAGGAAAACAUAUCACGGUUGCGCAAAUAUUUGGCUUCGUUCGAAGACUUGAUCGACGGAUUGAACGAAAAUUUUUGCAAAAUUCGCGGAAACACCGAUUGAGCAUCCCUCGACGAGGGAUCGUCAAGCCUGACAAAAGCACUCGAUCGUUAAUGCCUGGUAAUUUUCAUCGAAGGUCACGUCACUCUGUCGAAGGCGUAUCAAUUUGAUCUCGCGAUAACCACCAGCCAGGGAUUACAUUGGUCGGCGAUCAAUCAUUCGUUAACGAGUGACGCGACGCUUGCAUAAUGACGCGGUGCACGCGAAUCGGUUAACGGCCAUUGAGGAUCGUAUUUGUGCAUUGAUGUCAAACCUGGAUACAUUUGUUUUCGUCAAAACGAGCGGUUGGAAAAAUUUUACUAAGCCUGAAGAAGAAGAAGAAGAAGUAGUAGUAGAUGGAAUGAUGAAUGAGAGUGUCGAUUUUUUCUAAUUAUUACUUGAUGCAUGUUUUGUAUGAAAAAAAAAACUGUCAAACCGAUUGGAUGUUUUAUUUUUUGAAUCGAUUGGAAAAUGUGUAAAUGAAUUUAAAAAAAAAUUGAUGACAACGAAAGAAUCAAUUGUGAGAAUUUGAAAAAAGAUCGAUAUAAACAUUCAUUAAAAUCCAUCAUCGAAAUGUAUCAACGUAACAGAAAUAAUAACAGUGAUGCAGAAUUCGUGUUGUUUUCGCGUCUGCAUAAUCGAAUAUACGUAUCACUUCAGAUCGAUCAAGUUUAAAACUUGUUCCACUUGUACAUCGUCCCGCUGCAUCUCUGUAAGAAGUUUUUUUCCUCGAAUUACAUUCACUCGUCGAAUUUAAAUUUUUAUAUCAUGCAAUCUCUCGAAGUUGAAUCUACGAAAUUGUAAAUUUUCAAAUUCGAUAUAUUCUUUAAAAAUGGAUUAAUCAUGAAUGAUAUUGUUGCGUAAAGAUUAUUACGCCAAGUAUUUUCUAUUAUAUUAAAUUUUCUUUUUCUAUUUUAUCGUAAUUAAUUUCUUAAUUAUGAAUUUACGUAAUUAAGUUACGUUAUUUUCAGUACGAUUCAUUUAAAUUUACGGACGUACUUCUCUUUUUGUCGUGAUUAGUUCUUUGAUUACGAAUUUUUUAUUAUUCGAUUCACCUUAUUUCCAAUUCGCUCAAAUUUAAGUGAAUAUUCUUCAACAAAUGUUCUUCAAUUGAUUCUUGAUUUUUUUUGAUAACUGGUCACCGCUCGCGAAUUUGUCGUCGAACGAUUGAAUCGAUGGAAUGAAUUUGAACGCGAAUUCCCCAACUUGAAACUGUUUUCGAACUAGCACAAAAAAAAACAAGGAACACGAGCUGGUUCCAUCGAUCACGCGGCCCUUCUCGCCCAUCCUCGAGCUCUCGAACGGUCUGGAAAUCGAUCACGAGCGGCGGGGUGUUUCCGUUCGAAUGCAUCGCGAUCCCAUGGGGUCGAUCUUCUUUGGGACCCGUCUCAAGUUGGAAACUUCGAGCUCUUUUACUCCGUUGAAACCGAAUAUGCUGGUCCCUGAGAUGAAAUCAUUCCUGAAUAUUCGUUGAAAAAGAAUUAAUUAUUAAUUUCAACCGAUUGAGAAGCGCUUUUUUUAAGAUUGUUCUUUGUUCAUAAUUUUAUUUAUUUGCAAUAUAAGAUUUAAUUUUUCAAUAUAUAAUUUUUUUUCGUGAAUUUCAAUGGUUAAAUAAAAUUUUUCAUGUUUUCUUUCUUCUUAUAUAUUAUACAACAUUUUGUAAUGAAAAUUUAUAUCGAAUCUCUCGUCUCUAUAAGGUGUAACAUUUAAUAUGAAGUUAAUAUAUUUGAUUAUUCUAUCCUGGUCGAUUUAUCAAAUUUUUAAUAAAUUUAUUAUCUGAAAAUUGUGAUAUUGUAGCUAAAUCAUUGAAUUAAAAUUCGUAAUUAAUUUUAAUGAAAACUAACUUUAAUUUUACAUAUCUGUCGCUUUUAACAAAGUAGUGAAAAUAUAUUCCAAGGUUAACACGAGUACACGUGACGCAUACAGCUGGUCUAAUGUUGCCAGCAGACCAAGUUUUAUGGCUGCUGUUGCAGAGAAACAUUUAUUUAUAUAGCUCUGUACACGACGCGAACUAUUUAAUUUUUUAAAUAAUUUUAAUUUAUACUAAUCAUGGAAAAGAAUUCAAUUCUAUUUGAAAAGUGAUUUUCUAUUAUGAUGAAUAAGUUAUUCCAUUUUAUGUCUUUAAAAUCUGACUCUUCAACGUUACCAGAAUUAAAAUAUGAAUAAUCAAAUAAGAUAUCAACAACAAUGUCAGUUUGAAAAUGACGGCAAUAUAUUGAUUCACGCGAACUGUUUAUCCGUUUCAACCGUGCAAUUCAAACAUUUACAUUUUCAAAACGAUAAUGACAAUUUAAUUGGUAUAUCCACGAAUUUCAUAUUUGCGAUAAUUUAUUAAAUUCAUACAAUUUUAAAAAUUAUUUUGUUUUAUCGUUUUAUUUAUUUAUUCCAUUGAUAUGUUUAAAUACUUUCUCCCAUUAUUUAUUUAUCCUGAAGAACAAAUUAUAAAUUAUUAUUAUCUAUAAAUUAUAACGAAAACAUUCGUUUCAACGCGAUAUAAGGUAUUACAGAUUUAUCAUACGAUAAUGACUUCUACGAUUGUAUUUCAUCCAUUGUUCGGUCUCAGUUGCGUGGAAAAUUCGACGCUCCUUUCUGCGUAUUUCACAAUCAACGAUCUAGGCGCACAUUUUGUACAUUGAGAUUUAGUUUCCGCUGUUGGAUUUAUACGGUACACGUAAAAUGGAAAAAUUUAUGAUACUCCACUAAAAUCCCCCCUCCUUUUUGUUUCAGCUUCCUUUUGUAACAACACGUAAAUAUCACAGGCAUUGUAUCACGAUUAACAUAAAAUAAUCUCUAUGAUUCAAAUUCGUAGAAACGAAUGGCAUUAAAAUUUCGACGAUUUUUUUCGGAUAAUAUCAUACAUCAUAUAAAACGUAAAGUUUAAAAUAUUGCUGCGUUUAUAUCAUUCGUAUAAAUAUUUGCAUGAAAGCGUAACGCUAAUAAAUGUUACAUUUUUUAAUAAAUUUUUAAUAAAUUAUUAAGCAAAAAUAAAAGGCGAAAAUACGUUUCGCCUCUGGUAAAUAAAAAUUGUAGUGGAAAUGACAAGAGUCAAUAAAUGUGUAAUAUAUAUUUUGGAUUUAUUUGCAAAAAUACAAAAAUAUUUUUCUUUUUUUUUAUAUAUAUUCCAUCCUUUAGAAGUUUUUUAUUUUUAUUUCAUCGAUUUCUUUUCUCAUUUUAUUAUUAUCUCGUAGCUAAUAUGGUUAUUUGCCGAAUAAAAAUAUAUUAGCGAUUUUUAUAUUUAAAACGUAUUCAAAUAUUCGAGUAAUAUAUAAAAAUAUGUUAUAUUUUUGUAAAACUUUAAAUUAUUAAAUCAUUGCAUUCUUUUUC